rnacentral:rRNA from 1 species
AUGAACGCUGGCGGCGUGCCUAAUACAUGCAAGUCGAGCGAACGGACGAGAAGCUUGCUUCUCUGAUGUUAGCGGCGGACGGGUGAGUAACACGUGGAUAACCUACCUAUAAGACUGGGAUAACUUCGGGAAACCGGAGCUAAUACCGGAUGAUAUUUUGAACCGCAUGGUUCAAAAGUGAAAGACGGUCUUGCUGUCACUUAUAGAUGGAUCCGCGCUGCAUUAGCUAGUUGGUAAGGUAACGGCUUACCAAGGCAACGAUGCAUAGCCGACCUGAGAGGGUGAUCGGCCACACUGGAACUGAGACACGCUCCAGACUCCUACGGGAGGCAGCAGUAGGGAAUCUUCCGCAAUGGGCGAAAGCCUGACGGAGCAACGCCGCGUGAGUGAUGAAGGUCUUCGGAUCGUAAAACUCUGUUAUUAGGGAAGAACAUAUGUGUAAGUAACUGUGCACAUCUUGACGGUACCUAAUCAGAAAGCCACGGCUAACUACGUG